rnacentral:rRNA from 1 species
UAGUGGCGAACGGGUGAGUAAUACGUGAGCAAUGUGCCCUUGACUCUGGGAUAAGCGCUGGAAACGGCGUCUAAUACCGGAUACGACCCUCGGAGGCAUCUCCUGAUGGUGGAAAGAACUUCUGUCAAGGAUCAUCUCACGGCCUAUCAGCUAGUUGGUGAGGUAACGGCUCACCAAGGCGACGACGGGUAGCCGGCCUGAGAGGGUGACCGGCCACACUGGGACUGAGACACGGCCCACACUCCUACGGGAGGCAGCAGUGGGGAAUAUUGCACAAUGGGCGCAAGCCUGAUGCAGCAACGCCGCGUGAGGGACGAAGGCCUUCGGGUUGUAAACCUCUUUUAGCAGGGAAGAAGCGAAAGUGACGGUACCUGCAGAAAAAGCACCGGCUAACUACGUGCCAGCAGCCGCGGUAAUACGUAGGGUGCAAGCGUUGUCCGGAAUUAUUGGGCGUAAAGAGCUCGUAGGCGGUUUGUCGCGUCUGCUGUGAAAACCCGAGGCUCAACCUCGGGCUUGCAG